rnacentral:antisense_RNA from 1 species
UUGCCAGCCUUAUACCUGCACAAAAACGAAGAGAUGACAUGAUGGAUCCAAUCCAACCAAUUUGCUCUGAGGUGCCUUCAAACUCUUCUUGAAAGACCACAAAGAAAAUUGCAAAAGUCUUGGUCAUCCCCAUCACAAACACAUUCACCUAAAUCAAAGCAGACCAGAGUCCAACUCAGGUGGAAGAGUGUCUUCAUCUCUGCAUCCCUAGUGCAACAGAGCAUGAUAAAAAUUCAAUAAAUAUUUAUUGAAGAGUCUUGUUGUCUUUUGGGAAAGGAACUCUAUGGUUACCUUUACUCUAAGUUAAAAACAACAACAACAACAACAACAAAAACACAAAACCCUGAGGCUCAGAAGAUAAAUAUUUGCUGAAGAUCACUGUGCUUAUUAGAUGGGUGUUACUGAUUCUUACCUCAGAGAAGAGAAUGUCAUGGAGACAAAAUGAUCUGCUUAGAGUUCUGCACCCCCCAGCAUGGAGAGCAGAGCGCAAAGAUUUCUUCCGGACUCUCACAUUCCCCUUGGAAUCCAAGAACUGGUCUACUGUCACAACACUUUAGUACCCUCUUAGAUGGGGAUCUCACUCUGUUUCCCAGGCUGGUCUCAAACUCCUGGCUUCAAGCAAUCCUCCUGCUUUGGCCUCCCAAACUUCUGGGAUUACAGAUAUGAGCCACCACGGCUGGCUGACAGGCACCAAAUUCUAGGAGAGGACUUCAAUAGACUCCCAAGGAGGCAGCAGAAACUGGGGUAAUCACAACGGUCAACAGCAGCAAAGGCAGCACUUUCUGAUUUACUUGACUGCUAUGGAUGCCACCUAUCUCCACGCCUCAGUUUAAU